UUGUUCUAACACUUCUCAAAAGGAAGUUUAGCACUCUACGGUGCUCUUGAAUUUCAUAUUGUAGUUGCCCCAUUUCGGCAACAAUUGUAGAAAGCAUGUUUGCAGCAUCCAUAGUAGUACUCAAUUUCUUUGAUUUGAAUUUAAUGAAGUGAAGACACUUAUCGAGCCUCCAUUUAUAGAGUGGUAGAGUAAUCUCGCAAUGCGGCAUGAAUUGGAUGACUUAAUAGUUUUCUGCAGUUUAGUACUAACAUGCCUGUGUGGUGAACUAACUACCUUGGGAAGCAACAAAUAUGCCCCCAAUCACGCUGCCUAUGUGAACAAAUUUAAAAACUUCGCAUAACCAGCUUAAUUAAGUAGAAAAACCUAAUCGAUAGUUGUUAGGAUGAAU
rnacentral:lncRNA from 1 species